rnacentral:rRNA from 1 species
AACAAACGCUGGCGGCGUGCCUAAUACAUGCAAGUCGAACGGGGAAAGCUUUCGGGUGAGUACUAGUGGCGCACGGGUGAGGAACGCGUGGAUAAUCUGCCUUAGAGUGGGGGAUAACUAGUCGAAAGAUUAGCUAAUACCGCAUAAGACCACGAGAGCUGCGGCUUUUGAGGUCAAAGGUUUUUCGCUCUAAGAUGAGUCCGCGUAAGAUUAGCUAGUUGGUGAGGUAACGGCUCACCAAGGCGACGAUCUUUAACUGGUCUGAGAGGAUGAUCAGUCACACUGGAACUGAGACACGGUCCAGACGCCUACGGGAGGCAGCAGUAGGGAAUAUUGCACAAUGGAGGAAACUCUGAUGCAGCGACGCCGCGUGAGAGAUGAAGGCCUUCGGGUCGUAAAGCUCUGUCGCAGGGGAAGAACACAAUGAAGGUACCCUGUAAGAAAGGAUCGGCUAACUUCGUG